rnacentral:tRNA from 1 species
GUUGUGGCUCAAUGGUAGAGCACUUGCCUGGCAUGAGUGAGGCACUGGGUUCAAUUCUCAGCACCACA